rnacentral:rRNA from 1 species
GAUGAACGCUGGCGGCGUGCCUAAUACAUGCAAGUAGAACGCUGAAGCUUGGUGCUUGCACCGAGCGGAUGAGUUGCGAACGGGUGAGUAACGCGUAGGUAACCUGCCUCUUAGCGGGGGAUAACUAUUGGAAACGAUAGCUAAUACCGCAUAAAAGUCGAUAUCGCAUGAUAUUGAUUUGAAAGGUGCAAAUGCAUCACUAAGAGAUGGACCUGCGUUGUAUUAGCUAGUUGGUGAGGUAACGGCUCACCAAGGCGACGAUACAUAGCCGACCUGAGAGGGUGAUCGGCCACACUGGGACUGAGACACGGCCCAGACUCCUACGGGAGGCAGCAGUAGGGAAUCUUCGGCAAUGGGGGCAACCCUGACCGAGCAACGCCGCGUGAGUGAAGAAGGGUUUCGGAUCGUAAAGCUCUGUUGUAAGAGAAGAACGAGUGUGAGAGUGGAAAGUUCACACUGUGACGGCAACUUACCAGAAAGGGACGGCUAACUACGUG